GAGUUUGAUCCUGGCUCAGGACGAACGCUGGCGGCGUGCUUAACACAUGCAAGUCGAACGGAAAGGCCCCUUCGGGGGUACUCGAGUGGCGAACGGGUGAGUAACACGUGGGUGAUCUGCCCUGCACUUUGGGAUAAGCCUGGGAAACUGGGUCUAAUACCGAAUAGGACCGCAUGCUUCAUGGUGUGUGGUGGAAAGCUUUUGCGGUGUGGGAUGGGCCCGCGGCCUAUCAGCUUGUUGGUGGGGUAAUGGCCUACCAAGGCGACGACGGGUAGCCGGCCUGAGAGGGUGUCCGGCCACACUGGGACUGAGAUACGGCCCAGACUCCUACGGGAGGCAGCAGUGGGGAAUAUUGCACAAUGGGCGCAAGCCUGAUGCAGCGACGCCGCGUGGGGGAUGACGGCCUUCGGGUUGUAAACCUCUUUCAGUAUCGGCGAAGCUCCAGGAUUUUUCUUGGGGUGACGGUAGGUACAGAAGAAGCACCGGCCAACUACGUGCCA
rnacentral:rRNA from 1 species